rnacentral:rRNA from 1 species
UACGUAGGCAGCAAGCGUUGUUCGGAGUUACUGGGCGUAAAGGGUGCGUAGGCGGCUUUUUAAGGUUGGUGUGAAAUCUCCCGGCUCAACUGGGAGGGUGCGCCGAAUACUGAGAGGCUAGAGUGUGGGAGAGGAAAGUGGAAUUCCUGGUGUAGCGGUGAAAUGCGUAGAUAUCAGGAGGAACACCGGUGGUGUAAACGGCUUUCUGGACCAUAACUGACGCUGAGGCACGAAAGCGUGGGUAGCAAACAGG